rnacentral:rRNA from 1 species
CACGUAGGGCGCGAGCGUUGUCCGGAAUUAUUGGGCGUAAAGAGCUCGUAGGCGGCCUGUUGCGUCCGCUGUGAAAGCCCGGGGCUAACCCCGGGUCGGCAGUGGAUACGGGCAGGCUAGAGGUAGGUAGGGGAGAAUGGAAUUCCCGGUGUAGCGGUGAAAUGCGCAGAUAGUCGGGGGGAACACCGGUGGCGAAGGCGGUUCUCUGGGCCUUACCCUGACGCUGAGGAGCGAAAGCGUGGGGAG